rnacentral:rRNA from 1 species
GUCUCAGGCCGUAUCAGCCUGAAGGCGCCCGAUCUCGUCUGAUCUCGGAAGCUAAGCAGGGUCGGGCCUGGUUAGUAUCUUGGAUGGGAGACCCCCUGGGAAUCCCGGGUGCUCGAGGCU